GUCCCAGCCGAUGUGCGCGACGUGCUUCACGUCCGUCGGGUUCCCGAUCUGCAUCUCCGGCUCCUUCACGCUCGGAUCUGCAAGCAACCAACCCCACAACACCAGCGUGCGCGGGCAUGCGCGUGUUCGUCAGACAAGGGGACAAGCACAUAAACAACAUAAUCGUGUAUAGCUUUCUACAAUCAUCAUCUCAUGACACACACAUGGAGAGAGAGAGAGAGAGAGAGACCUUCACGACAUCGUCUAGACCUUUUGCAUCAGUCAGUAUCUGCUUGUUUCUAGCCUCUAUGACACUAGCCACAAUGAACACAGAUAGAGGUAUCUGCUCUUCCUUUUUAGCCGCCUGUAAGUUUUUCUGUUCGAAUUUUCCACACUGCUUUAAGGCAUUUUCAUCUUUUGUGUUUGCUUGAGAUGUACUGUUAUCACUCUCCAACAUAGAAAAGAGACCUGGAUUGUACUCCAUAGACCACAUGAGCUGCAACAUUUGUAAAUCAAGGAAACAGCCUUAUAAACCUUCCACAGUACAAAUCAAUACUUGAUUGGAACUAAUCAACACACCUAAAAGGUUAAAUUAUGCGACCUUGUUGGGAAGCUUACCUCCCAAAGGUACAUUGUGUCUACAAAAGAGAACUCCCUUCGGAAAAGAACCAUCAGCAUACGGAAGGCAAAUAAGUAUUCCCC